GGGUUAGUAACGCGUGGGAACGUACCCUUUUCUACGGAAUAGCCUCGGGAAACUGAGAGUAAUACCGUAUAAGCCCUUCGGGGGAAAGAUUUAUCGGGAAAGGAUCGGCCCGCGUUAGAUUAGAUAGUUGGUGGGGUAAUGGCCUACCAAGUCUACGAUCUAUAGCUGGUUUUAGAGGAUGAUCAGCAACACUGGGACUGAGACACGGCCCAGACUCCUACGGGAGGCAGCAGUGGGGAAUCUUAGACAAUGGGCGCAAGCCUGAUCUAGCCAUGCCGCGUGUGUGAUGAAGGCCUUAGGGUCGUAAAGCACUUUCGCCAGGGAUGAUAAUGACAGUACCUGGUAAAGAAACCCCGGCUAACUCCGUGCCAGCAGCCGCGGUAAUACGGAGGGGGUUAGCGUUGUUCGGAAUUACUGGGCGUAAAGCGUACGUAGGCGGAUCAGAAAGUAAGGGGUGAAAUCCCGAGGGCUCAACCUCUGG
rnacentral:rRNA from 1 species